UUGAGCACUACUAAGAAUUAGUUCUUCAGUAUAAGGGUAUAAUUGGAAAAAAAAUAAUCCCUCCAUCCCAAUUUAAGUGUCUUUUUCUCUCCUUCUUUGGCUUACUUUCCUUUUUAUUCUCUUUUAAAGAGAAUGCUUGUGUUUUAAUUCUAACUUUUCCAAGGCAUUUUGGUAAUUUUCUGAACUUUCUGGAACCUCUACUGUAAUUUUUUCUCUCUCUAAACCCGAUUAAGAAGUUGUAUAGUUUACUAAAUUGCCCCUUUUGAUUAUUAAAUGUUUCUUGAAAUUUUAGCACUAUUAAGAAUUAGUUCUUCAAUAUAUGGGUAUAGUUGGGAAAAAAUGCUACUCCUUCCGUACACUUUUACUUGUCCACUUACCUUGAAAAUUAAUAAAUGAAGUAUAUAUUUUACCAUAAUAUUUAUUGGUGUAUAAUCUUACUAGACUUGAAAAAUGAUUUGGAAAUGAGUAAUCAAUGUUCCUGUUUGUGUUUGAUAUGCUAAAUUGCAUAGGUAAAAAGUGAAAAUUUAUUUUUAGUAUAGUGGACAAGAACGGAGGGACUACUCCUUCUGUCAAUAUUAGUUGUCACAUUUCUUAAGAAAUGAUAAAUGAAAGGUAUUAUUUUACUACCUUACCCUUAUCUCUUCUCAAUAAUUGCACUCUAAUAAGUAUUGAUUAUUUUCAAGAACAUUUGAUAUUAAGAGGAAAAUGGAAUAAAAAUAAUUAAUUUCAUCUCGAUUUUGUAAAAUGACAACUACUCCCUCUGUUCACUUUUACUUGUCCACUAUACUAAAAAUAAAUUUUCACUUUUACUUGUCCGCUUUAGCAUAUCAAGCAAAGACAAACUUUUUUUUUUUUUUUUCUUGUUUUACCCUUACACUAAUUACUAAUUUUCAAAUUAUUCUCCAAGUUCAAUAAGACUAUAUACCAAUUAAUAUGGGCAUUAUUGUAAAAUAUAUACUUCAUUUAUUAAUUUUUAAGGGGCGUGUAAAGUUAAAAGUAGACAAGUAAAAGUGAACGGAAGGAGUAUUUUUAGUAACCUUAUGGGACAGAGAGUAUUUAAAUUGAAACUUUACUACCUUACCCUUGCAAUUUGGAUGUCAAGCCCUCGGCCGGUAAUUUUCUCUUUUUUUAUUUUUCUGGGUUAGUGGAAAAUGAAACGAAGUCUUUUGAAAUUUACUUGUCCACGUUACUAUCUGUCCCAAAAAACUUUGUCAAUUUACAAAAUCAAGAUAAAAUUAAUUAAAUUUUCCCAUCUUACUCUUAAAUACUAAGUGUUCAAUAUUGAUUUAAAGUCCAAUUUAAGGGAAAGAGAUAAGGGUGAGCUAGUAAAAAUAUGAUUUCUUUAGGUGCGUGUAAAGGGAAGGUGGACAAGUAAUAUGAGACGGAUGGAGUAUUUAAUCUAAAUUUUUUACAAUUUGGAUGUAAAGCCUUUUGCUUUUAAAGCUUUUGGAUUUUUUGGAACCUGUGCUGGUAAUUUCUCUCUAUAUUACUCCCUCCUUCCCAAAAUAAGUGUGUUUUAGCUCAUUUCAUGCCCAUUAAGAAAUUAGUGACUCAGUUCCAAGACAAGUGAAUUUUUCAAAGUCCAAGAGGUUAUCAAUUAGAUUUU